CUUUGUUCUCAUCACCGAGCAAUUUAAUUGGCUCACAGAAGUUUUAAUAGAUUUAUUGACUUUACUUAAAUACCGAUAAAAUUUUUAAUUCUAUCCAUUUAAUUUAUCGUAACUUCGACGACUGAUACAUUUAUUGGCUCAAUCAUUUAAAAUGUCGAAAAUUUUUCUUAUCUUUGUCAUAAUCGGAAUAUUUUGCUUUGUUGCAACGGAAGCUUGCACUGAAUGGGGAAGAAGUUGCGAAUGCGACAGAGAUUGUUGCCCAGACUACAUUUGUAGUUCGUCAGGUUCAGAAAAUAAAUUGCAGUGCAAUACAGAUGUUCGAAAAAUAAAAAAAUAAUAUCAACUACUGCUGAAAUUUAAUAAAUUCCAUGAGCAAAAAUAUUUUUGACAUCAAUUUAUAAAAUGAUACUGAAAUUAGUAUUAUAAUUAGCCGACGUCUAAUAAUUUUUGAAUUUUUUAAAAAACGAUAAAUUAUAAAAAAAAAAUAUUUGAAAAAAUUGCACCUAUAGUUUAUUAAAUUUUCUACAUGUGCAUAUUUUUAGUUUUU